AGUCCUGGUCACUCUGGCGCGCCCUGGGCAGCCCCAUGGGAAACAGGCCUGGAAUUCCUGUAGGGAGAGUGGGGGAAGGGGAGCCAGCAGGGAUUCCAGAGUUACUGCUCUGGGCCGGCCUUUGGCCACCAGGGAAAUACCCCUGCCACCGAAUAGAGAAUUCGUUCUGUGACCUUACCGGGGGAGGAGGUGACCCCCCCAAAGGCAGCAAUGCGCUUCCUUAGUGAAGAGCGACACUCAUUUGAACAUUCAGGAUCCAUUAAGGUCACUGUCACGCAGGCUGUGGGGCUUAAGGCUGGAG
rnacentral:lncRNA from 1 species